rnacentral:rRNA from 1 species
CAGUAGCCGCGGGAAUACGAAGGGUGCAAGCGUUAAUUGGAAUUACUGGGCGUAAAGGGUGCGUAGGCGGUUUGAUAAGUCUUGUGUGAAAUCUAUGGGCUCAACCCAUAGUCUGCACAAGAAACUGUCGGGCUUGAGAGUGGGAGAAGUGAGUGGAAUUCCGAGUGUAGAGGUGAAAUUCGUAGAUAUUCGGAAGAACACCAGUGGCGAAGGCGGCUCACUGGACUGGUAUUGACGCUGAGGUGCGAAAGCGUGGGGAGCAAACCGGAUUAGAUACCCGUGUAGUCCCUGUCUCUUAUAC